rnacentral:rRNA from 1 species
CCUACGGGUGGCAGCAGUGAGGAAUAUUGGUCAAUGGACGAGAGUCUGAACCAGCCAAGUAGCGUGAAGGAUGACUGCCCUAUGGGUUGUAAACUUCUUUUAUAUGGGAAUAAAAUGUUCCACGUGUGGGAUUUUGUAUGUACCAUAUGAAUAAGGAUCGGCUAACUCCGUGCCAGCAGCCGCGGUAAUACGGAGGAUCCGAGCGUUAUCCGGAUUUAUUGGGUUUAAAGGGAGCGUAGGUGGAUUGUUAAGUCAGUUGUGAAAGUUUGCGGCUCAACCGUAAAAUUGCAGUUGAAACUGGCAGUCUUGAGUAGAGUAGAGGUGGGCGGAAUGCGUGGUGUAGCGGUGAAAUGCUUAGAUAUCACGAAGAACUCCGAUUGCGAAGGCAGUUCACUGGACUGCAACUGACACCGAGGCUCGAAAGUGUGGGUAUCAAACAGGAUUAGAUACCCCUGUAGUC